GUGCUCUUUCUCACAGAAGUAGCUAGAUUUGGAAAUAUAUUUAAAGAUCCACAAUGGCACAAUCUAGAUCAAUAUUUCUUAAGAUUAGACUUGGACCAUGCCUUGGGUGAUAUGCAAUCCACGGAAGAAGCAGAAAAGACAAU